rnacentral:rRNA from 1 species
UUGCACAAUGGGGGAAACCCUGAUGCAGCGACGCCGCGUGAACGAUGAAGCCCUUCGGGGUGUAAAGUUCUUUCGACAGGAACGAUAAUGACGGUACCUGGAGAAGAAGCUGCGGCUAACUACGUGCCAGCAGCCGCGGUAAUACGUAGGCAGCGAGCGUGGUGCGGAGUUACUGGGCGUAAAGAGUGCGUAGGCGGCGAGCCAAGUUUGGUGUGAAAACUCCCGGCUUAACCGGGAGGGUGCGCCGAAAACUGGUUGGCUGGAGUAUGGGAGAGGAAAGCGGAAUUCCUGGUGUAGCGGUGAAAUGCGUAGAUAUCAGGAGGAACACCUGCGGUGUAGACAGCUUUCUGAACCAAAACUGACGCUGAGGCACGAAAGCGUGGGUAGCAAACA